CCUCAUAUUGUUGAAAUGACAGAUAAAACAUCCAGAAUAAAAGCUGAAGAUGAAAGUUGCAUGUUUUUCCCUCCUACUGCUGCUGGCAUGUAGCUUUGGAGAGGGCCUGAAAUGUCAUUGUAUUGGCAAAGCUUGCACAAACACAAUGCAGACCUGCAAUGCUAAACAAGACGCCUGCAUCAGUGCCCAGGUCACAGCCCCAGUGUCCAUACACUUCAAGAGAUGCAUUAAGAUGUCAAACUGCCUUUUACUGAAAGGACGCCCAGGCAUGAAGGCCAGCUGCUGCCACACCGACCUGUGUAACUAACACAACCUCCGUCUACGAUACGGUCAAAUCCUGUACUUUCUUCACUGUACUAAGGUUGAACAUCCCUAAUCAAUGUACAUUGUUGGAACUGUGAAAAAUAAAUACUGUGAAGUAUAAAUACAAGUGCUUUGGAA